AAAGCAGCUCAGGACCGGCUCAGAGUACAUUGCUUCCUCUCAUUCAAAAAGGUACAACAAGGCAGAAUAUAAAAUCAGCCAGAAAGACUGAAAUAGAGCUUAAUGGCGCCCACUGCAGCUGUGGAGACCUUUUUUUUGCCAGCAGUCCCGCAAAGUCAGAAAACCUCUCGUGGAAAAGCAGAGACGGGACAGGAUCAAUAACCUCCUGGAGCACCUGAAGAGCAUCGUUCUGGACAGCAGCCAGCAUGAGCAUGCGUCAACGUCCAAACUGGAGAAGGCGGACAUCCUGGAGCUGACGAUCAACUACCUGUGCAAGGUGCAGCAACAGACGCCAGGCGCCCUGCACCCCGCUGCCCACGGCAAGGGGGCCUGCGUUGGAGGCCACGUGGCGUCCACAAGAGAGCGGCAGCCCUUCUCGCCGGGGCCCCACGGCUCAGGCUGGGACAGCGGCGCAGAAACAGAUUUCAGAGAUCAGUUGAGGUUUGCUGCAAGGAAGCAUCAGAAACUGUGGCGACCUUGGUGAAGAUUUAUUUUUCCAAACCGACUUUCUUUCACAUCUGCUGCUGGAACAAUAAUUGCUGUACUGUACAGCGAAGGACUAAUGUUGGGCAUUUUUGUGACCGUUAUGAAAAUUGUAAACUUCUGUGAAGAUGAUUUUUGUUUCCAUUAAUAAUGGUGUUUAAAAUUUUCUGCUUUAUGUGUUUGAUUGUUGUUUCAUGUUAUAUAUUUAAAAAAAUGCAAAGUACUCUGCAAUAAUAUUUUAGAGUGAUGAACUGGUCAUGCUUAAAACUGGGCAAAAUUGUCAGAUGUAAAAACAUUGACACUUUUCUUCUAUGAAUAGAAAGUGUCCGGAUUUUACAUAAUGUAAUACAAUACACAACAUAAAAUCCUUCAAGUUCAAAAUGUGUCUCUCCAAAAAUUGCACUGUUUUAACAAUGUAAAGUUUUCAUGCUUGGUAUGGUUGUAUUAUGCAUAAUUGAUGGGAGGGCAAUUUCAUUAUCCUGCAAGUGACCCAUUUAUUUCAGAGAAUUGAUUAUUUUGUUCCUGUGGAAAUGCAAUUGUAACGGCUGUUUGUGGCAUUUCACACUGCGCCUGUCAGGUGCUCCCUGCAUGAGUGCCGUGAUAAACGCGGGGAAUGUUAUUCCCCAGGUCAUUUGUCUGCGUAUCGUGAAUGUAGCAUUGAAAACUGUGCAGUAUUACCCGUGUAUAUAUUUGCAUUAAAAUU